GGAAUCUUCUAGGCUUUGUUUCAGAUUUGACAGCUUUUCUAUUUUUGAGGCAUCCCAAAUAUGUUUUGUAUCAUCACCUCCAUUUCACCGUCCCUUGUGUGCUUUUAUUUUAAUACAGUGAAGACUUUGUCUCACAGUAAACAGUGUGAUUAUGUUCUCUUCUACCACUUAGUGGUUUUCGGUACUUAAGUUUGUCUAAUGGGCUCAUGACUGAAAGGCAGAGUCAGUUCCCUUUGCUGAUUUAGUACAGAACAUAUGCAAAUAGCAUUGGAUUGGAUAAUGUGCAGGAAAGUUGUUCUAUCAAACCACCACAUUUAGUCUGGGGUUGUAGACACUUGCCUAGCUAGCAUGUGUGAGGCACUGGGUUCAAAUCUCAGCACUACAUAUAAAUAAAUUAAAAAAUAAUAAUAGUCUAUUGACAACUUGAAAAAAAAAAAAACCACUACAUUUGGCAGUAAGUUUGCCAAUCAUGGUAAGGAUAUCUGCCCAAUAUCUGAGUUGCUUUUCUAUAUAGCACUUCGACCCUCAAACCUAUCUUAUAUUAGAUGUCAUUUCUAACCUCCUGUACUCCUUCAUGAGCUAGAGGAGAAGAUCGCUUAUGCUUUUAUGGAUUAUUUGAGCAAUCCCAUGUACCAUCCCACAGUCACUUCCCCUCCCCUUGCCUUUGUGUAUCUAAUUUGACAGAAUGGUAGCAGUGACACAUUUUAGUGUGCUCCAGUGAGACCAAGCUUAUUCUAUAGGUCUAAAAUGUAUGGUAGCCUCAACAUUCUUCAAAUUCCUUAAAGAAGAUGAAUAAGAAAAAAAAAAAAAAACCCACCCAAAACCCCCCAAACUCUGAAAAGUCAAAAUUAUUAGUUAAAAUUUUCAUUUCACACACAAAUUUUUCUUUUAACUAGUUACGAGACUCUGAAUCCUCCCUUAGAACCUUGAUAUUCUUACUUUGAAGUGAUCGUCUAGCUAUUCAGCUUUUUUUUUGAGGGGGUGAGGUGGAGACCAGGGGUGUUCACUGAGCUGCAUCCCAAUCUCCCCCUUUUUUAAAAAAUUUUGAGCAGAGUCUUGCUAAAUUAUUUAAGGCCUUGAUAAAUUGCUAAGGCUGCCUUUGAACUUGAUAUCCUCCUCUGUCA
rnacentral:lncRNA from 1 species